UUUUUUUUUUUUUUGAGACAGAGUCUUGCUCUGUUGCCCAGGCUGGAGUGCAAUGGUGCGAUCUCGGCUCACCGCAACCUCCGCCUCCAGGGUUCAAGCAAUUCUCCUGCCUCAGCCUCCUGAGUAGCUGGGAUUACAGGCGCGUACCACCACGCCCAACUACUUUUUGUAUUUUUAGUAGAGAUGGGGUUUCAUCAUGUUGGUCAGGCUGGUCUCGAACUCUCUGACCUCGUGAUCCGCCUGCCUCAGCCUCCCAAAGUGCUGGGUUUACAGGUGUGAGCCACCGCGCCUGGCCCCACCUCCAGUUCUUAAAUGCUGAGAAUCUAUUUUUAUUUACUUCUGAUUGGAGCAGGAAAGGGUGAUCCCAAAGCCUAUCUUGUUUUUAGUAUAAUUAUAUGAAUAUCAGAUUAGCAUUAAGGAAUCUAAGACCUUUUGAGUUAGACAAUGACAUUUCAAGAAAAUAAGAUUUAAUUAUUAACAAAAACCUGAAGGUAUUUUUACAUUCAUUUUCCUGGCCAUGUGAUUGAUUGAAGAAUGAUAAGAACCAGAAAGUGUAAGAUAAAUGGAUCAGUAAGAAAUGCACUUAAUCAUAAAUUAUUACCCUUGUUCAAAUUCACAGGCUCAGACUAGGAGGUUAAGGGUACGGUGUGGUGGCUUCUGCAAUGAGUACAGGUAGCACCAAGAAGGCUGCUUCCUGUAGGAGAUCGACAAAUACCUACAUGGAUGAGUCACAGUUCGAAGGAAUGGUUCAACGCCAUUUGAAAAUGCUCUUCAGUGAUAUGUUGACAAAGAUGCUUUUUACAGAAACACUAUGCUAAAAUGCCGCAUGAAAUAGCAGCUUUUUCUUUCUUUCUUUCUUUUUUUUUUUUUUUUUGGUAAGACUAAAAAGAACUUCAGUCUAGAAGCUUUGUGUUAUGGAUAUUUAGACAAAAGCCCAAUUUCUAGAAUUUUUAAGCCACAUCUGACAUGUUCCUGAAUUUUAACUAUGGAAUUGGCCUACUUAUUAACAGUUUGAGGGGAAAAAAUGGAAGAAGUUUAGAUCACUACAGGAAUCUUUUCAAAAUCAAAGGCUUUUUUUAAAACGCUGCAUAAAAGACUUUAGAAAAAGUAGUAUAAACCAACUGCCAGCGUCUGUGAGUGAAAAUUAUUUAUUAAAGAGUCCAUUCAAAAGGGUUGUACAGACAGAAAACCAGUGGUUCUCCACAUUUGGCAGCAUCAAAAUCACCUACAGGACUAGUGAACAGAGAUUCCUGGACCCCAUAUCCAGAAUCUGAUUCAGUAAUCCAUUUGGGCCAAAGAUUUGCAUUUCUAACCAAACCCCAGGUAAUGCUGACACUGCUUGAGAACCACUGCUCUAGACGAACUACAUCUGUGCAACCACUGCAUUACUUCAUUUACAUUUUGACCUUGUAUAAAUAUUUAUACAAUGGGAAACAGACGAAGCAGCUGGUACAAUCCAUAGAAAUGACGGAAAUGUUAUCUCCUUAACUCUUGAAAAUAUCUGUGAAAUUAUCCAGAACGGAAGAGCUCCAGCAGCAACCAAAAUGCAUAAUCACAGACAAGAAUUGCCUGUUGUCAACCUUAUGGGUGACAAUAACGGAUAAGCCCCUUAAGGCAGGCUUUCCUCCUUAGCAACUCUGUGCCAUUCUGUGGAAUCCAUUACCAGUCCCUGUGCUUGGUGGCUUCCACACAGAAGGAGGCAAGAUCCCCUGUGACCAGAUCUGUGCUUUGUCCUGAACUCCAGAUAUAACAGAGUGGGUUCUCAUCCUCUCCAUUUUCAGAGACAACAUACAGAAGUUUUCAAGCCAUCUGCAUUUAAUUUUCCCAUAAACAAUAUAAAAUUAUAUUUGUAUUCAAAGCUAAUAGACAAAACUCUGGCAAAUAAAAAUUUUAGAGAAGAAAAAAUACAUACAAGCAAAGUGAGAUGUGAGAAAGUGAAUAUGGCAACAAAUGCUGAAGAGAUGCAAAAUCAAUGUUAACCAUAAAUUUCUAUUAAUCGAAACUCUCAGACUCCAACAGUAUAACAAAGCUAAUCACAAUGAUAACCUAAGGUAUUCAAAGAUUUAAGAGAUUUCUGAAUUAUUAAAACAUUUUAUAGUAUAUUCUAACUGCUUUGAAAAUUGGUCAUCUUUGACAGACUGGUAAAUAUCAACAGAUAAAAGGUUUGAAUUAAUCAAAAACUUCCCAACCUUGAUAACCUGGUAUGCUUGUUAUUCAACAUAAAUAAUCACACAUUUAAAAAGUUUUAAAAGCGUUCUACCUGCUAUGGAUUCAUGGCCGUUCAACACAAUCUAUGUGUUAAAAUAGAUCAGACCCAGGAUUCAGGUCAGCAUUUGCUAUUCUUAAUCUCUAAGCUUAAACACACACAGACACACACACACACACACACACACACACACACACACACACACACCACAAUUCUUCCCAUGUAUAACACAUUUGGAAGGCAGGAAGGACGUUUUUUGCCAACAGAAAACUCUUAAGAACACAAAAACCAAAAGCAUCCCCUUGUUUCCAACAUUUUGAUUUCAGUAUAUAAAUGAUGUUGAUGGAAUUUUCUCAGUAAGACAAUUCUCAUUUCUAUGGUUAUAGUGAUUUAAAUUGGCUGCUAUGUUACAAAAGAAUCUUGAGAAAUAUCUAAAAACUAAACUCAUAUAAAGAAAUUUUGACAUAGAGGAAAAAAAGAAGGCAGUUAAUAUGUCAGCACAUCUAAACAUAAGGCAAUGUUAAUUUAAAAAACAAAAAGAAAAAAGCCUGUUGAAUAGUGAUUGAACAUAAUAUUAAAAUCUAUGGUUUGGGUUUUGUUAUUUGUUUUAAUCAUGAGAGAAAAAUCCUUCAGAUGUAAAAUUUAAGUUUUCAUUAAUUAUUAAAAAUGUAUAUUUUUCUAUCUUAUUCAUUCAAGAACAAGCAACCACUUGACAAAUGUGGACUAAUUUUGACAGUAACCCCUCACUACCAGGAAUGGAGAAAUACACAAGCUUCAGUUGUUUUCUCAUGAUCCAGACUGCAAAUAAAAUGCAGUUGCAAAUAAUAUCACCUACAAUUUUGUUUAACUCCAAAGAUCUGAGGGUCUCUAAUUUGAGCAUUACAAUCAGAAAAACAAAGCUGAUUUUCUUCUUUUUAAAGGGAACCUGAGACCGGGCAUGGUGGCUCAUGCCUGUAAUCCGAGCACUUUGGGAGGCCGAGGCAGGCAGAUCACAAGGUCAGCAGUUCGAGACCAGCCUGGCCAACAUGGUGAAACCCUGUCUCUACUAAAAAUACAAAAAUUAGCCAGGCGUGGUGGCGGGUGCCUGUAAUCCCAGCUAGUCGGGAGGCCGAGACAGGUGAGUCGCUUGAACCCAGGAGGCGGAGGCUGCAGUGAGCCGAGACCGCGCCAUUGCACUCCAGCCUGGGCAACAGAGCAAGACUUUGUCUCAGGGAUUAAAAAAAAAAAAAAAAAAAAAAAAAAGGGAACCGAAAUAUCGCAAUCCAGAAACAGGCUGGAUGUGGGUGGCAGGUGCAGUGGACGUGGUGUCCUGGCAGCUGCCCUUUCCGUCAGCCCUCCUAGCCACCUCUGGCACCCCCGCAGCAACUCUGGGCCUCCCCUGUUGAGGCUCAUUGUCCUGUCCUCACUAGGUUGCAUUAUCUUUUUUUCUAGCAUUUUAUACUAAGCUAGCUGUCGACCAAACCGAAGCCUUGUGAAAAGUUUUAACAAGAGAAGAUCCUUUCAACUCUUCAGAGCCAAGAUUCAGUAUUUUUAGGUUUAGUGUUUCCCAGGGACAUUUGCAUUUUCAUAGGACACUACAGAAUCUGAAAGGCCUUUGAAGCUCAAGGAAAAAAGCUACAGCAAGGAAUCACUUUCAAUCUUUUUGGGCAGGGCUCUUGCCCCUUGACCCAAGCCGUACCACCACCAGAGCUAGAUCCUGACUACGCCAAUCCCACCUCACUUCAAGAACUUCCUGUCCAAAGGUGAGGGAACCUGACUACUGAUACCUGCAGCUCCCCACCGUCCAUCAGUGUAGCUCCAGGAAAUCAAAACCAGGUUUAAAAUUUACCAUUAGUGUAAUGAUUAUCAACAUUAAUUAGAAUUCAGAUGCUAGAUUUCCUUGGAUUUUGAAUGUCACUGAAGAACACUUAAAAAUGUUCAAAACAAUCACCUUUAGAGAUGUUUCCACUCAUACUGCCUUGAUUUCAAAUUAAGUAGUCCAAAAAUUCUAAUCUAGGACAACGAGUCUCAAACCUUUUCAAGUUUAAGAAUGGGUAUACUUUUUUGGCAAUUUACGAGAUAGUAUGUGACAACAAAAAUCUAUUAUGAAUUCAGUAGCACUUUACAUAGCUUUGAAUUUUGUUUCCCACAACAUUUACAUAUAUUUCAAAUAAAAUACUGCAUAUACUUGCAAUACAAAAUAUUUAUCCAAAGCUCAACAUGCUUUUGAGUUCAAAGGCCUCUUGUUAUAAAUAUCCUCAUGCCACCAGUUGGAAAUAUCCUGCCUCUAAAAGGUUCAGUGACAGCCAAAUCUCAGCAUGCUUGAAAGCUGAUCAUAUCUGCUGGAAACCUCAUUAUUUCCAGAAAAUAUUUUUGAAAUGGGGACAUAUCACUUUCAAUUAUAAGCUGUUGAAGGCUUAUGAAUAAGUGACUUAUGAAUAAAUCAGUAUUAUGAAUAGCUGUCUUGGUCCCCUCCCUCCUUCCACCAGGAGUCCUUCACUGCCAGCUAAUGAGAUGGGGAUGAGAGGCAGAUUCUGCCCCUCCCAGGCAGGCUGGUGUUGCAGCCCACAGGGAUGACGGAAGAUGGACCUGGAGAAGUUCCUGAGUCCACAAGCUGAGGAAGAUGCUGCAUGAGGAAGGUCGGAGCAGGGGAGCUGUCAAUGUGGGGGCAGCAUGCUGAGUCAUCUGAAUUUUGUCACCUUUCUUGAGAUUUCACCAAUUAGAGAUUACAUGUUUUAAUAUGUCCUUUUCAGUAUGAAGAAUACUAUAUUCAGGGGGCUCUGAGAAAACUAACAUUCAAAGCUUAACAUGAAUUAGUUUAUCAGGACCUCUCCCUUACUGCUUCUCUAAGAUUAACUGCUCUAUAGAUGAAGGGGUAAAUGAGCAGAAAGAGAGGUGAUGUGAAAAAAAAAAUGCAGCAGCUGGGAGACAGGACACCCCUGCUUGGGGCCCUCAGCAGGAGCUUUUGGCAAACCUGAAGGUAUCAAUGCCUUGGGACAAGGACGUGCAAAAGACAAGUAUGAGAUGCUGAAGAUGUGCUACUUCUGAUUCAAAAUAGUGUUCAGAGAUUUUACCCCUCACUCUUCCUGUUUUCUACUGGCUACAACAACCUUACGCUCAGUAAAGACGUAUAAGAAUAGCUUUGCAAUGAAACUGCUAUUCAGGAAGUAUCCCUAGGAAGCCGCUUUUCCAGCUGCGGAAGAAGGACACACAGCCAACACCUGAUGGUUCUCCAAAGAAGCCAUGCCCUGACUUGUAAUUGCCUUGACCCUUUGCUCAGACGCCUGCACUCAGCCAACUUCCACUCACCCUCCACAUCUCAGCUCGACUGCCCCCUUCUCUGACAGGCCAGGGAGACCCAGGCUCUCUUUCCUCCACGCUCCCACAUAGCUGGUACCUCUCCAUUGCUACCACACACUUGCCCCCUAUAGUUCCACUGGAUGCCACGUUCCUCGAGAGCAAGCACUGUGUCUUUCAACAUGGAAGCUUUAGUGCCUGUCAUGGAGUUGGCGCUCGGCAACAGUCUGAUGAAGGUACUGGUAGCAAUCACUAAAUGGGGACUGCACAGUAAACGCCAGAUAUCAGGAGCAGCCUCACAAGUACACAGGAGUAGGCCUUCAACUGGCUGCUUGAUCGCAAAGCCACAGCCAGCAGUCACAGCAGGCCAGACGUUUGAGGUGCAGUGAUGCAGAAGAUAAACAGCACACAGCUCAGGAAACAGCAGCACAGCUGACGGGAAACACCAGCAUGCCAUUCUAUGGGCUGGAAACAAACAAGUACAAUCCUCAUGGCUAAAAGUGGGAGCAGGAAGUGGCUACAAGGGGCUCUCAGGAACAGGCAACGGACAAUGACAUCAGACUGGUCCAUGGAAUCAGUGCAGGAGGUAUCCAAAAACACCUGCACUUAAGAUUCAGUUCAAUAAAAAGUGACGUUACCCAAGGGCUAUGGAAAAGCUGGCCAGGAAAUCUGUAAUGCAUUAAAAAUAGCAUGCCAAAAAUAAAUCACAUCCAAAUGAUCAAUAAAAUACACCCUCUGAACUCCUCCCCCAAAUUCAUACUCACAAAAUGAUGCCAUGAACCUUUCUUUGGGGUUGACCACACCUGAAAGUAGGCAGAGAAGCUGAAGGAAUAUUGAGGGUUUAUUUAGAAUAGCACACAACCUAUAAGCUGAUAUUAUUUAUUCAAUGAAAGGUUUAACACAUCCAAGAUAUUACAGGAUUCCCUUACAUGUACCCAAUUAGUAUGACAGCACAGCUGGGUGCAGUGGUUCAUUCCUGUAAUCCCAGCACUUUGGGAGGUCAAAGCAGGAGGACUGCUUGAGGCCAGGGGUUCAAGACCAGCCUGGCCAACAUAGUGAGACCUCCUUUCUCUAUUUUCUUGAAAAAAAGACAGCAAGUCAUAUACAAGAAGCCUAUUAUUUUGUAAGAAAAGUAUAACUUAUAAACUGAGCUAACAUUCCUAAAAUAAGACCCAUAUGGUUUUGAAAACUGUGAUGUGAUAAUGUCCUUUUCAUGAACUCUCCUGAUAACACAUGUUGAUAUUCCUUAGGAUGAAGAUUUGCCCAUCAAUUCAAUACACAGAAAUAAAUUAUUUUCAUGGAAUACUUUCAGGUCUUCUAUGUUCUAAGCACAAAGUAGAAACUCAAAAGUGAUUGUGAAAUGAGUGAACAACGAUUAAUUAAAAAAAUAAGAGUAAGAGGGUAUAAGAUUCAGGAAAUACCCCCUUAAGGAAAAAGUUUCAUCUAAGCUCAAACAAUCAUUUUAUUUCAUUGCUUAGUUUUUUGGUGUACGAUCAUCAACAGGAGAGGGGAGAAAAAUCCAAAAACUCUUGCCAACUUAUGAAAAAAGCAGUUUGCCUGAAAAUCAAGUAAAACAAGUUGAUGAAAUGAUUUGUAAAGUCAGGAAUACUGCCCUGUUAUAUUUGCAUUUCCUUUGUUUCUCAUGAAGGGUUGCAGCCUGUAGGGUGGCCAUUCUGACAGGCUGGGAAGCACAGCCUCAGGCCAGAAGCCAGACACAAACACUUUGAGGGAGGGGCAGAGGGAACAGAAAUAGCAUACAAAAAAGGUCCUGGAUGAAAAUACAAGAUUUUUAGACAUUUGAAAACAUAAGCUUCAUAUUAUGAAAGACGGUACCAUACAAGAUAGAUAUUGUUUUAAAUUCAGAUAAAAUGGAACCACACAGCAUUCCAGAGAGAUGGUAAGUGGUAAGUGACUUGAUUAGCAUUUUGACAUAAACUGUUUUAGGCCUUCCAAAGUCUUUUAUCUAUCUUUCCUCACAUGCAGAGGAACAACUUCAUUCUAUUCUUCAUGUGCAAAGCAGUUCAAUGCUCUUGACAAGUGAGCUUUUUUUUUUUUGGCCUCAGACAGCUUUGCCAUUUCUUAAAUUUUCUUAUAAAAGCCUAUGUAGGUUCCUUAGAAGCAGACCCAGAGCCUGAAAGCUAAUUCUUAAGUCGUUUUCAUUUUUCUUUUUUCCUUCCUUUCCUAAGCCUAAUUCCUUUUAUUUAUGAUUUUGGGUGAUGGGGUUCAGGACACAAUACCCCAAAAUAUGGCACUGUGGCGUAUUAGAUAUUUGAAGCUGAAAGAAUCUGAGAAAACUGCAGAAACAGGAGGAUCGCUCUCACCUUCCCCUUGCCCUUCUCCCCUGAGGCAGGCAUAAAACCUAGGAAGGAUCUUCUCAUUUUCUCCUGAAGCAGGACACAAGAUCCUCAUGUGAGAGACGCCAACCCUACACAUGGAGAGAAAGGACUCUAUCUCAAAUAAGAAGAAGAUGCAGGGACACAGAGAGGAAUCUGAACAAACAGAACUUGCUAAGUUCCCCCCAGUUGACUGCUAUUACAUCAUACUCUUUGUCCAGUCAUAUUUCUACACAGCUGUCCACUCUUCAUCAAGCCUAGCAUGCAAAUACAUCAAGUUUCUGUCGCUUUGGGUCUUCAUUUCUGAAGGCUCCCAUGUCACAUAAAACUUAUAUUAAAUUUGUAUGCUUUUUUCUUCUUUUUCUUCUUCUUCUUAUUAUUUGAGAUAGAGUCUCACUAUGUUGCCUAGGGUGGUCUUGAACUCUUGGGCUCAAGUGAUCCUCCAGCCCCUGCCUCCCAAGUAGCUGGAAUUACAGGUGCAUACCACUAUGCCCAGUGGCUUUUUUCUUAUUAAUCUGUCUUUUGUUAUAGGGGUCUUAACCAUGAACCUAGGAUGGGUGAGGGAAAGAUAUUUUUCCUCCUGUCAACUGAAGAAUGAGGUUCAUAAAUCUGGAAAGAAGAGCUUUAUUUCUCAUGAAGGGUUGCAGCCUGUAGGGUGGCCAUCCUGACAAGCAGGGAAGCACAGCCUCAGGCCAGAAGCCAGACACAAACACUUUGAGGGAGGGGCAGAGGGAACAGAAAUUGAUGCUAAGCAGGGUGGCCACAUGUACAUAUUCAAUAAACUGUAGGAGGAGUCAUGAAUAUUUAUGAAAGGAGAAAGGUGCACACAUGCAACGGAGCUUCAUGCUCCUUCAUGGGACUGAUGUACAAAAAAAUGGUGGCAUUAGCAAGAUCCAAGGGUGGAUUGCUGCCCUCUGAUGUCAAAAGGUGAAGAAGACCAGAAAACCCUUGCUGUGCAGUCUCUGUAGACUGGCCCGAACCAUUCCGUGGUCGGUGGUCUCUUAUGGGAAAAAAUGCUGGUCAGUUAUGCGAAAACCGCAAAAGGGAGAAGCAGUGUCUGGUGGUUGGUUGAAAUCAGCGGUGGAGUCUUUUGAAAGGGCUGUUUGCUCCUUAGCCCUUGGGUGAGAAAGCCUAAUCAUGGUUAGCCAGGGAGGGGGGCAUAUGAGAGGCAUGUCUGACCUCCUAUCCCAUCAUGGCUGUGAACUCAGUUUUCAAGGUUACUCUGGGUCCCCUUGGCUAAGAGGAGAUCUGUUCAGUCAGUUACGGGGCUUAGGAUUUUAUUUCUCACUCCCCUACAUAAAUACGCACACAAGAUAAAACACUUUCCUCUUUGCUGGAAUCUCUUAAUGUUGAUGGUCAAAAGGUCCUAUAUUUACCAUUUAGGAUGUUAAGAAUCUAAAAUGAUCCAGCAAUAUUGUCAAAGGCAUUAGAACCAGAGCAACUCCGUCUUGAAUAGAGGCUGGGUAAAAGGAGGCUCAGGCCUCCUGGGCUGCAUUCCAAGGAUGGUUAGGCAUUCUUAGUCACAGGAUGAGAUAGGAAGUCAGCAGGACUGUUAUCACAAGAUACAGGUAAUAAAGACCCUGCUGAUAAAACAGGAUGUAGUAAAGAAGCCUGCCAAAACCCACCAAAUCCAAGAUGGGGAUGAAAGUGACCUCUGGUUGUCCUCACUGCUCAUUAUACACUAGUUACAAUGCAUUAGCAUGCUAAAAGAUACUCCCACCAAUGCUAUGACAGUUUACAAAUGCUAUGGCUAUGUCCAGAAGUUACUCUACAUGGUCUAAAAAGGGGAAGAACCCUCAGUUCCAGGAAUCCCCACCCCUUUCCCAAAAAACUCAUAAAUAGUCUACCCCUUGUUUAGCAUAUGACCAAGAAAUAACCAUAAAAAUAACCAACCAGUAGCCCUUGGGGCUGCUCUAUGGAGUAGCUUUUGUUUCUCCUGUAAUAAACUUGCAUUCACUUUACUCUGAAUUUGCCUUCAUUCUUGAACAAGAUCCAAGAACCCUCUCUUGGGGUCUGGAUUGGGACCCAUUUCCAGUAACAUCUUCCUGGCAAACCACCAAGGGACAACACUGGAGAAACCCCGACCCAAAAGAAUAGACUGCAGCACUAAUUGGCCAACUUUGCACUACGGAAAUGACAUUAGACAAAAAGCAAAUUUGAGCGAUUUUCGUAUCAAAGUUCGAAAUGGGUCAUAAAGCAGUGGAGACAACUCGCAACAUCCACAAUGCAUUUGGCGCAGGAACUGCUAAUGAACUGACAGUGCAAUGGUGGUUCAAGAAGUUUUGCAAAGGAGACAAGAGCCUUGAAGAUGAGGAGCACGGUGGCCAGCCAUCAGAAGUUGACAACGACCAGUUGAAAGCGAUCGUCAAGGCUGAUCCUCUUACAACUACACGAGAAGUUGCCAAAGAGCUCAACAUCAACCAUUCUGUGGUCAUUCAGCAUUUGAAGCAAAUUGGAAGGGUAAAAAAGCAUGGGCCCAGUUGGAGAAACUGGUUAUUUUACCAAGGCUUUGACUGAAAUGGCAUGCUUUCAAAUAUAAACAGGCUUCUUUAAGGAAUCAAAGUUGACUUACAGAGCCAAUAAAAGCUCCUUGGGAAAACUGGCCUCAUGCCUUGUCUACACAGUCCCUGCAUAGGGUUCUUGACCUGUGGUAAGUAAAGAAUGUCACUUUCUGACAGGCUCAGGAGGCCCAGGUUAUCUUGGGACCCUGAAAGAAGGAAACAAUUUAUCCAACUCACACAGGUAUUUGCAAGCACAAACCCCUGGCUGGGCUCAAACCUUUAAUAAGAAGUCUACUCUAAGAUUCCUUACGGAAGAAAGUUCCAUCAAAGCCAACUUAAAAAGAGCCUAUACAGCAAAAAUUAUUCUUGCUGCACUUUAUACAAAUAAUCAGGCCAGGUAUAAUAAGACUAAAGUUUAUUUUGCAAACAAAUCAAGCCUAUCAUGCUUUGUCUUUAGUAAAAAUGGGAGACUGGAGAGAGAAAAACUAUGUUUCAAUAACUAUAGUACACCUGUUACUAGAACCUAGCCUUGUCUGUUGUUUUUGAGUUUUUCCCUGCAAUUUAGACUGACCCAGCUUAUUCCUGUGAACCAACCAGUGACCUCUGGAUGCAAGCUCAGAAGAAACAAGAGGGAUAGGUAAUGUAAAAAUCUGGAUCAAUAUUGUAAUUCUAGGCACAUAUUAGAAUCAGCCACUCCAAGUCUGCUUAGUUCCAACAAUUGCCCAGUUCAUGGAAAGCCUUCUUAUUUAGUUUACUUGAGAUAAUUUUACUUAUUUUGCUUUACUCUUGUGGAAUAUACUGUCAUUGUGCUCUUUGUGUAAGAAUGCAGAAUAAGUUAACUCAAUAUUUUAUUAAAUUGAACACUUAUUAGUCUUCCAAAUAUCACCUUUGGUCAGAACUCAAGAGUUAUGAAUGGCCCUCACCAUAUGGAUGCUUUCUGACCAAGCAUCUCUCUACCGUGAAUACAAGAGAUGCUAAUAGUUGGGCGGGAAUAUCAUCACCCCAUUCAGCCUAAGGAAGAGAAGAUGGAUCUUCCUCCCUCUACAACCCUUAGAAUUAAAAUUUCCUUGUAAAAGGGAAGGAGAAAAUAAGUCAGAGGUAUUUGAACCACAGCAACUCCAUCUUGAAUAGGGGCUGGGUAAAAUGACCUGCUGGGCUGAAUUCUCAGGAGGUUAGGCAUUCUUAGUCAUAGGAUGAGAUAGGAGGUUAGCAGAACUGGUAUCAGAAGAUACAGGUCAUGAAGACCCUGUUGAUAAAAUAGGAUGCAGUAAAGAAGCCAGUCAAAACCCAUCAAAACCAGAAUGGUGAUGGAAGGGACCUCUGGUCAUCCUCACUGCUUAUUAUACAUUUAUUGUAAAGCAUUAGCAUGCUAAAAGACACUCCCAGCAGUCCCAUGACAGUUUACAAAUGCCAGGACUAUGUUCAGAAGUUACUCUGUAUGGUCUGGAAAAGGGAGGAUGCAUCAGUUCCAGGAAAUCCCAACCCCUUUCCUGGAAAACUCAUGAAUAAUCCACCCCUUGUUUAGCAUAUGAUCAAGAAAUGACCAUAAAAACAGCCAACCAGCAGUCCUCGGGGCUGCUAUGUCUAUGGUGUAGCCAUUCUUUGUUUAUUUACUUCUCUAAUAAACUUGGGUUCACUUUA